ensembl:snRNA U6 U6 spliceosomal RNA
GUGGGCACACAUACACUGAGAUUGGAACGAUACAGAGAAGAUAAGCAUGGUCCCUGCACCGGGAUGACACACAAAUUCGUGAAGCGUUCCAUUUUUUU